rnacentral:rRNA from 1 species
UACAGAGGGGGCAAGCGUUGUUCGGAAUUACUGGGCGUAAAGGGCGCGUAGGCGGCCCGCUAAGUCGAACGUGAAAUCCCCGAGCUCAACUCGGGAACUGCGUCCGAUACUGGCGGGCUUGAAUCCGGGAGAGGGAUGUGGAAUUCCAGGUGUAGCGGUGAAAUGCGUAGAUAUCUGGAGGAACACCGGUGGCGAAGGCGGCAUCCUGGACCGGUAUUGACGCUGAGGAGCGAAAGCCAGGGGAGCAAAGCGGG